UCUAUAUAAAUAAUGUAUUAGAAACGGAAUCAUAUUGUAGCAAGGAAAAAAAUAUAAUCAUAUAUGGAAAGUAAUUGUAAUAUUAUAGUACUACAUUAAAAAUAAUAAAUAUGAUUAUUCCCAAAGUUUAUGGGAAAUGUUUCUAUUUGAAAACUGUUUUGAAAAGUUUCCAUGAAAUAGUAAAUACCCGCUAACGUUUUGAUAAUUCCUUUUUAAUGAAAAUUAUUGGAUAUUUAUUAAAUGCAGGUUAAUGAUUUUUAGAAGAAUAAGAAGUUUCUAAUUUAGAGUAAGAUAGAUUUCUUUUAUGAAAUAAAAGAUUUGAGAAAAAUAAAAAGGAAGAAAUUUAAAGUUUAUAUAAAAUAAAAUAUCAAUGUUGGUGGUUAUUUAUAAUCCAAGAGAUCAGCAUGCAUUGUAGGUAAAUGUUGACUGCGAAAACAGCUACCCAGGGCACAUUCUCAGAUCUGCAGGCGAGGGCUGCAUUAAAGAUUUAACUAAAAGUUGUGGGGAGGUGCAACAUUCAUAUCUUAUUCUAGGCACUCAUGACCUUAAGUAUAGCACUGGAGACAACAUUAUUGCAUCGUGAUAUGUGAAAUAUUUUGUUAGUUUUGCUGAAGAACUAAAAUAUUAAUUGUGAUUUAUAAUAAAAAAUAUUUAUUCUGUAUGUAAAAAUACUGUUGACGUUGAUUGUUGUGAGAAAUAUGAAAUCCCACAAAGAUAAUGUACUGUAGAUCCAUCGUAUGUGGUAGAGAUAAAAUCUGUUGUAGUAGAUUAAAAUUUCAAUGUUAUAAAGUUAAAUUGAAGAUUAAAAAAAUGUUUUAAUGCAGUUGACAUGUGACAGUAGAAGUAAGCUUUUGUAUUUAGAAAAAUUAAUGUCAUUUUAAGCACAAAAACUCUGGUACAGUACUUAAUGCAGUAUUUAUUCAGAUGUAUGUGUUAUUGAUUAUAAUAAAUAAAAAAGAAUGUGUAUUAUUUACUUGAAAUAAUGUCCAGAGAAUAAUUGGAAUAAUACAUUUAUCUAACAUUUCUGACUAUACAAAAAAUGAAAGAGUGGUAAGUAGGUACCUGAUCGAACCUCUCAAAGUCGAGUUAUUC